rnacentral:rRNA from 1 species
UACGUAGGGGGCAAGCGUUGUCCGGAUUUAUUGGGCGUAAAGAGCGUGUAGGCGGUCAGGUAGGUCCGUUGUGAAAACUCGAGGCUCAACCUCGAGACGCCGAUGGAAACCAUCUGACUAGAGUCCGGAAGAGGAGAGUGGAAUUCCUGGUGUAGCGGUGGAAUGCGCAGAUAUCAGGAGGAACACCAAUAGCGAAGGCAGCUCGCUGGGACGUUACUGACACUAAGGCGCGAAAGCGUGGGGAGCGAACAGG